rnacentral:rRNA from 1 species
GGUCAAGCAUUAAGAGCGCAGGGUGGAUGCCUUGGCACUGAGAGCCGAUGAAGGACGUGAUAAGCUGCGAAAAGCUUCGGGGAGGAGCAAAUAUCCAUUGAUCCGGAGAUAUCCGAAUGGGGAAACCCACUUGAGCAAACCUCAAGUAUCCAUACGCCAAUCCAUAACGUAUGGAAGGGAACCGGGGGAACUGAAACAUCUAAGUACCCCGAGGAGAAGAAAGAAACCUCGAUUUCCAAAGUAGCGGCGAGCGAAAUGGAAAGAGCCCAAACCGUGGUGCGUGCACCGCGGGGUUGUGGACUGCAUAAGGUACUCGAAUCAAUAGCCGAACAGUUUUGGGAAAUCUGAUCAGAGAGGGUGAAAAUCCCGUAGGCGAAAUUGAAGAGAGGCUGGCAGGAUCCAGAGUACCACGAGACACGGGAAACCUUGUGGGAAGCAGGAGGGACCACCCUCCAAGGCUAAAUACUCCUCAGUGACCGAUAGCGCAUAGUACUGUGAAGGAAAGGUGAAAAGGACCCCGGGAGGGGAGUGAAAGAGAACCUGAAACCCUGUGUUUACAAGCUGUGGAAGUGCCUUAUGUGCACAACCGCGUACUUUUUGUAGAACGGUCCGGCGAGUUACGUUUACUGGCAAGGUUAAGCACUGCAGGUGCGGAGCCGAAGGGAAACCAAGUCUUAAGAGGGCGUGAAGUCAGUAAGAGUAGACCCGAAACCGGGUGAUCUACCCAUGUCCAGGCUGAAGCUGCCGUAAGAGGUAGUGGAGGGCCGAACGCACAUCCGUUGAAAAGGGUGGCGAUGAGGUGUGGGUAGGGGAGAAAUUCCAAUCGAACCCGGAGAUAGCUGGUUCUCCUCGAAAUAGCUUUAGGGCUAGCCUCGAUGGAGUCUUACGGAGGUAGAGCACUGAAUUUCUAAGGGGGCGUCAAAGCUUACCAAGGGAUAUCAAACUCCGAAUGCCGUAAAGAUGCUCAUCGGGAGUCAGACUGCACGAGAUAAGUUGGGCAGUCAAAAGGGAAAGAGCCCAGACCUGCUGCUAAGGUCCCAAAGUACGUGUUAAGUGGAAAAGGAUGUGGGAUUUCGAAGACAACUAGGAUGUUGGCUCAGAAGCAGCCACACAUUCAAAGAGUGCGUAAUAGCUCACUAGUCGAGAGGUCCUGCGCCGAAAAUGUCCGGGGCUGAAACACGACACCGAAGCACAGGAUACCGCAAGGUAUGGUAGAGGAGCAUUGCUGGCGCAACGAAGCAGUACCGUAAGGAGCUGUGGAGUGCCAGGAAGAGAGAAUGCCGGAAUGAGUAGCGAGAGAGAGGUGGGAAUCCUCUCGGCCGAAUAUCCAAGGUUUCCAGGGUAAAGCUGAUCUGCCCUGGGUAAGUCGGGGCCUAAGGAGAGGCAGAAAUGCGUAUCCGAUGGACAGCAGGUUGAGAUUCCUGCACUAUCUUAAAACAGAACUGUGGGGACAUUUGUGGAGAGCACAGGCGCGGAACGGAAAGCCGCGUGCAAGCGAAGGAGGAGUCACAUAGGAAAAACCGUGUGGCAAUCCAGAGGCGUGAUGCGGACCGAACUAAAGUAGGGAAGUGUGUGAGCCAUGAAUCAAGAAAAGCCGCUAUUGUUUUUAAGAUACCCGUACCGUAAACCGACACAGGUGGAUGAGGAGAGAAUCCUAAGGCCGGCGGAAGAAGCAUUGUUAAGGAACUCGGCAAAAUGACCCCGUAACUUCGGGAGAAGGGGUGCCAACGAGAGUUGGCCGCAGAGAAUAGGCUCAAGCAACUGUUUAGCAAAAACACAGGUCUAUGCAAAACCGUAAGGUGAGGUAUAUGGGCUGACGCCUGCCCGGUGCUGGAAGGUUAAGAGGAGAGGUUAGCGCAAGCGAAGCUUUGAAUUUAAGCCCCAGUAAACGGCGGCCGUAACUAUAACGGUCCUAAGGUAGCGAAAUUCCUUGUCGGGUAAGUUCCGACCCGCACGAAAGGCGUAAUGAUUUGAGCGCUGUCUCGACAAUGCAUCCGGUGAAAUUGAAGUACCAGUGAAGAUGCUGGUUACCCGCGCCAGGACGGAAAGACCCCAUGGAGCUUUACUCCAGUUUGGUACUGGGGUCCGGCAGUGCAUGUACAGGAUAGGUGGGAGGCU